CCUUGCCAGUGAUGCUUUAGUUAUCCCUGUCUGAAACCCAAGUACUACCGUACUUGGAUGUGAGGAUAUAUUGUACUUUUCUGAGGCAAAG